CGGGAAGUGGGCGUGUGCAACUGCGCAGACCCGGUCGGAAGUCAGGACAGACUCCGGCUGUGUGGUUUAGAGACGGUUCACGUUGUGGCCGAGAGGCCAGACGAUUCGAUUUUCCUUGUCGGUGACCUUCAGUGCCAGUGGAGGCAUGCCGGGACCCAGUAGGCCUCGGCUGUUGCGCGACUCGCGCGACAGACAGCCGUGUUGGAUCCUGCAUAGCAUGUCGCCUUCCUCCGAGGAUGCCUGAGCUCCUGCGGUGGAGGACGGUCGGGGGAGGCCGGGUCUGGCGGCUCGGUGUGGCACUCGGCGCCGCGCGUUCCGGGAAGGUCUCCCCGUGCUCUGUGGAACUAGAGAUAGGAGAGAUGAAGAAACCGAGCCAAGUCUGGCUGCUCCAGAUCCUCAGGACUAAGAAUCCUGCCUGUUGGGCUGAAGCAAAGGCUGUGUGAAGGGGACGGGGUGAGUUUAUAAUGUCAGACAGACUGCCAGAUCCGGACAGUGACCCAAAGUCUCCAAAGAAGAUUACGAGGCACCUCAGUUCCUGCACCUGGACCAGUGAGCGAGAUGCUCAGAUGUGAAACCUGCCGCCUGCCAGAACCUGGCCGAGACUGUGGACAAAGCUGCUGGACACUGGAAAAUUGAUUGCACCCCUUUGCCUAGACAAAACAAGACAUCUGAAUAUCAGUUGCUGACUACAGACUGUUCUAAGACUGCGAGCCCUAGACUUGCUAUGAAUGUGAACCAGUUCAGCUGAUGUGGACACCCCCUGUCUCUACAACAGUGUCUGCUAACCAGAAGCCCCUGAUGGAUUCCCCAUUGCCUAAAUUCCUUUUUGCUUUUGACUAGCAUUUCAACCUUCUGGGGUCCCUAACUUCGUCCCAAAGUCAGCAGGAAGCAGUUUGGAAAAGAAUUUCGCCGUCCAUUUUCCCUGGUUAAAAUGCUAAGUCAAAAGGAACUCCCUUACAUGGGGAUGCCAAUAUCUAUCACUCCCUGAUGGGGAUGCUAGAGAGACAGCAAUUCCAUGAUUGGAAUUUCCAGAAAAGAAAAUGGGGGAAUGAAGGAACCGGCUUCCCUUUUGGCAGCCAUAAUGGUUGAACAUGUGCUUCUAUGACCUUGUCCUAGAAACCAGAAAGUCAGAUGCCUGUCUUGUGACAAGGAACCAAUCAGAAGUUAGCUGGUGGUGCUAUGCUUUAUGGCUCUGGGUGUGCUUUACGGACAAGCGCACAGCAAUGACGUAGAGAGCAUAGCAACCACCCUGGGAGGGCCUAUGAGCCAUAACAACCAG
rnacentral:lncRNA from 1 species